CUACAAUAUAAAAAAAAAAUCUAUUCACUGAGUAUGGUGGAGAAAGGGUUUCUGAGGUGAAUCCUGAGGGAAUCUGCUCUUCAAUAGAACAACUGAGCCAGGUUUUCUUCUGCAAACUGAACAUCACGGUGAGUCCAUUUUCAGAGAGAAGAACGAGGAAAAGGAAGAAGGUGACAGGACAUGAAUGCACAGAAGGAGGGAGAGGAGACGGAGUUGGGCAAUGCUCUUUGGAAAUGUCAAGGCAGUUGGAAGAGUUGGAAGGUUGCUUUUAUCGUGAGCAUGUAUACGUUUAAUCUAUUUCUACUCCUGCUGUGGAAGUUGGAGCAGAAAAUAAGACGCAAAUAAGAGAGGAGAAAAAAAAAACAGGAAAAGCAAGAGACUGGCUUGGAAAAUGGUAAUGAAGAAGCAGUUCAGUGAUAAUCACCUCAACUACUGGAGACUGAGAAGCAAAUCUACCACAAAAAGGCAGAAAAAUACAGAUUCAGAAAGGAAAAAAAAACAGACUGACUAAAACCAACCAACAAAAAUGAACAAGCCACCCAAUAGCUCCAUCUCCUAAUAAAUAAAUAAAUAAACAAACAAAUAAAUAAUAAAUAAAUAAAUAAA